AAGAAAAUAAAACCAUUACUUGUUUAUUCCCUCCGCCUUAGUAUUACAUAUGAGCACCUUUAAAUAUUCACUGGGAUAGUACGUGUUGUUGGGCUGCGUUAGAUUUGAGGUUAGCUGACAAGUGACAACUAUCAGCAGCUACCUCUAUGGAGUAUUUGUUCCGAACUUCACACACAAAUAAUUGGGUUUGCUUCUGUAAGUUCUGGUUUGAUUAGCUACCUAUAUGCAAUGUUUUCAGGUUAGCUUUGCUAUGUUAAUUACAAGUACACAGACAAAUGGGGUUUGCUUGAAUUGGCGUCAGUCCAAAGUAUUGGGAACGUGGGACACCUUACCUGGCUGCCUAGAUCAUCUUUGAAUUUCUGUUCUUGAAUUUAUGUAGUGGUGCGACUUUGAAUUUCUGUUCUUGAAGAUGGUUACUGGGAAUUUUCUGUUUUGAGGAGGUGUUGAAAUCCACUUUCAGGAAUGCUGGAAAGGAGCAAAGAUCCUGCCGGAGUUUGACCUUUUGUCUACUGGAAUUGGUACUUGCUAGUAUAUCACUGUCAUAUGCUUGUUUGUUAGAAAUGCUCACAUAUGAUUCUGCUCAAAGAAUCACAGCGCGAAAAGUAAUGGAGCAUCCCUAUUUCAACCAAGAUGGCUUUGAGAUCGAGGUGGCAGUUCUGAAGAUUUUGUGGGAAUGUAAUUGGGAUACUGGGUUAUCCUUGGUUCCUAGUCACUUGGAAAUAGUUAGUAGUGUUACUGAAAUGGAGAUGGUUAAUACAGGAUGACCGAUUCAUCAACCUUGUCAUAGGAUUCUAAUUGCUUUUAAUCUUGCAUUGUUGUCCAAUGUGUGAACCAACAAACGCUUAUGUACUCUGGUUUUGGCUUUUAUAAAGUC